GUCAAACCCGAGAAUGAUCCAAUGCUUUACACAAGCCAAUCCUCACUUGACUUCAGCAGCGGAAAAAACCUUUUUCCUGGCUCCCUAUCUCAUGGCUAUAGAAGUGGAAAGCAGUUCCCAUUCUUACAAUGCACUAGUUCUGCACUCCUUGGAGAAUCUGUCUGUCAAAGUAUUUUCAAUGCUGAUUCCACCUUAGGCAGUACCUGCAGCAGCCAAAAAAUGUUCUCUGAUGGGCCAAAUCGAUUCCUUGACUCGAACCGUGCUCUCUCUCUUCUGUCAUCUCCAUCAGCCGAGACUAGGGAGAUUGGCUUGAGCCACAUGGUACAGCCUAACUUGAACCCCCAAGCUCAGUCCCCGAUCUCAAACCUCAACUUUAGCUGUCUCGGAAUGGAAAGUGGACCUGUUAAUUCUGUUCUGGUCUCUGAUGGCGGUAGCAAUGCAAAUCUCCAUGGUCAGGAUGUGUUUCAGAUUGGACCUGAAGGGUCAUCCACUAGCGGAUCUCUCCAGCCACUUUCCUUCUCUUGGGAGUAAUUUGC
rnacentral:misc_RNA from 1 species